GAGCGAGCGGCGGGUGUCCCUGAGAGGCCACCUUUCGACCUUCGAGGGCCAGGAGGAUACGGGGAGGUGGCCGGAGGGAGUUCCCGAACACAGGUCUUCCUGUUCCCGCCGAGCAGGUGUUGGCGGUGCCAGGCCCGGCCUGGCGGGCCCGGGCUGGCAGCCAAAUACCCAGCGUCUGUGCUCGGGACGGGAGUGUUCGUCCAGGACGUGCAGCUCCGGAGCCUGCGCGGGCGACCUUGACCACCUUUGUCGGCUGUUUCCCCCUGAGGGAAGUAUACCUGUCCUGCCAGCCUUGGUCUCUGGCAGGGAAGGUCCUUCCAACAGAGAGGGGUGCGCACGAAUUCCUUUUUGCCGCUCUUCUAUUAAUAGUUUGAGAUUUUCCUCCCCGAUUCCUUGCAGAGAGGGCCUGGUCCUCAAGGACCUCGGGAUCUGGGCGCGACGUCCCUUCCCAGCUUCCUCCCGCGCGCACCGGACCAGAUCUUGCUGUCGUCAGCUGGCUGGUACCCAAAGUUCCUCUUCGUCAGGCUGUUCCUUCCCCGUUAGAGUCCUUCCUCCCCAGGAGCCCUCUCCAUCUGCUGACCUUCAAGACCCAGAGCGAAUGCCACUUCAUCCAUGAAGCCUUCCCUUAACCCUUAUCUGGCCAAAAUGUCUCUUUCCUGUGCUUCUGUACUUUCACAAUUUUAGAAAAUGCCUUUGUGGUUAAAAACCUAUCUCCGGGACCGGACUAUCUAGGUUUAGAUUCUGGCUGCCGCUUACGAAUUUGGGCAGGUUUAGUCAAGUUAUUUUAACCUCUCUGUGGAAGUUCCUGCUCUGUGGAAAUAAUAGUAUUUUCCUCAGAGUUGGUGUGGGGAGUUUGUGAGUUAAUACAUUUACGAAGUGGUUAGUUGCAUGUAAGAAGGACUCUCUAAAUGUCAGCUAUUAUUAACAUUGCAUAUCUGCCACACCCUUCAUAGAUGGUAAACUGCUUUUUUUUUUUUUUUUACUUUUAUUUUAGGUUCGGGAUACAUGCACAGGUUUGUUUUAUAGAUAAAUUGCUUGUCAUGUGGGUUUGUUGUACAAAUUAUUUUGUCACCCAGAUAGUAAGCAUAGUACUUGACAGGUAUUUUUUCUGAUCCUCUCCCUCCUCCCACCCUCUAGCCUCAAGUAGGUCCCAGUGUCUGUUGUUCUCUUCUUUGUGUCCAUGUGUUCUCAAUGUUUAGCUCCCACUUACAAGUCAGAACAUGCAGUAUUUGGUUUUCUCUUCCGCAUUAGUUCACUUAGGAUAAAGGCCUCCAGCUCCAUCCAUGUUGCUACAAAGGACAUGAUCUCUUUCUUUUUUAUGGCUGCAUAGUAGUCCAUGGUGUAUAUGUACCGUAUUUUCUUCAGUCUACUGGUGAUGGGCAUUUAGGUUGAUGCCAUGUCUUUACGAUUGUGAAUAGUGCUGCAGUGAACAUACAUGUACAUAUAUCUUUAUGGUAGAAUGAUUUAUAUUCUUUUGGGUAUAGACCCAAUACUGGGAUUGUUGGGUCGAAUGGUAAUUCUGUUUUAAGUUCUUUGAGAAAUCGCCACACUGCUUUCCGCGGUUACUGAACUAAUUUACAUUCCCACCAGCAUUGUAUAAGCAUUCCCUUUUCUCCACAACCUCACCAGAAACCAGCAUCUGUUAUUUCUUGACUUUUAUUAAUAGCCAUUCUGACUGGUGUGAGAUGAUAUCUCAUUGUAGUUUUGAUUUGGGUUUCUCUAGUGAUUAGUGAUGUUGAGUAUUUUAUAUGCUUGUUGGCCAUGUAGCUUCUUUUGGCUAGGGACCUGUGAGUCUCCCUAGGUUUCUUGCACUUACUAAGCCUUCAACAAAUGGUAGAAGAGUCAAUUCUCUUGGUGUUUCAGAAGAAAACAAUAUCACAGCCCCUCUCCACUGGAUAAUACUAUAAAUCUUAAAAUGAAUUUUCAUUCAGAGUAAUAAACACAAGCCAAAGAACUUUGUAUAACAUCCGUCAACUUUUUGUGUUAUCUAUUUCUUUUCCAAAACAUUGCCUCUGGUUUUAAAGGUAACUGCCCACAGUGUUUCACUAAUAACAUUUUAAGCAUUACAAGUUCAACACUGAAGGUCAAAUGACAACGAACUUUCAGUGCUUCCAAAAGCAGGGGCAGAGGGCAACUGCUGAGGGGGGCAUUGUAUAGCCUAACCUUCCCAGAAUUUGAUUUAAAAGUAUGAUCUUCACAGCGUUGGCCAGCAAUAUCAUGGUCACUCCCUACGUCAUUCCCUGGGAGAAAAACAACCCUAGGUUACCUAAACAAUGUUGGCGAAGACCAAAUAUUUAUUAACAUCCUAAGCCGCCCCAUAAUCAAGCCAAUGCUGAUAGGGACAAAGAAGGUGCCAUGUGCAGUUUUUCUCCAUGUCCCCACAAUAUCUGCUCUGAAUUUUAAAAGGCAAUUACUGGGGGAGAAGGAAGCCUAUAUAUUAUGUAGGAUCCAAGUCUCAAACUGCUUUCCUAGGGAGUGUGAGGUUCUUGGAGAUUAAGUGCAGUACCUUUCUGUCUUGAGCCUUGUAGGCUGCCCCUCUAAUUUAAUGCCAGUCUUGAAAUAAACAGAAUGCUUUCCAAGUCAUCGCUAAUUUUAACACUUUAAAUUUAGAAUUGCUUAGAAUUGACUCAACACUGCCUCCUUGCUGAAUGGAUAAUUCAAGCAAACAACUCAAGAGCUGGAUGCUGCCCAGACAGAAGUCCUCCUAGCAUCUUUCUUCUGCCUUCCCCUGCUCCUGUCCCUGAAACCUUUUCUUCAAAAGAAGUGGAAAAGAGGAACUGGGAACCCAUAUAGCAACAGCAUCACCUGGAAUGAAUUCCUUUAGAACAUACUGUCUUGGAAAUCUGAAGCCUGCAGGGCUGGACAGGCAAGAAGAGCAGUGAGCACUGCAUGAACCUGUAAGUAAAUCUGCAUGUGGAUGGUGUUUUGGGUUUUUUUCAGACAGAGCCUUACUCUGUUGCAUAGGCUGGAGUGCAGUGGCACGAUCUUGGCUCACUGCAACCUCUGCCUCCUGGGCUCAGGUGAUUGUCCCACCUCAACCUCUCAAGUAGCUGGGACCACAGGUGUGCACCAACAUGCGCAGCUAAUUUUUGUAGAGAUGGGGUUUCGCCGUGUUGGCCAAGCUGGUCUCGAACUCCUGGGCCAAGCAAUCGGCCUCCCAAAGUGUUGAGAUUACAGGCGUGAGCUACUGCACCAGGCCACACAUGCUUAUUUUACUCAGUCUUGCCCCUGAAUACCCGAAGGUCUAAACUUAGGAAAAAGUCAGGGGAGGGAUGAGUUUGUCAUUCUUUGGAGUCGUUAUAUUUGGGUGAGUGCUGGCACUAUGGGUAGGAUAUUAUUUAGAAGCUGAGUUGUGUGCUGAGCAAAUGUUUCUUUAAAAACCAAAGCCGUAUGAGAUCUGUUAUAGAGGCACAGUGUGGCUAAAUAGUGUGCGAUAAGAUAAGCAUAGGGCUCCUGAGGUGUUGCUGUUCUCCCACUGUAAUGAGUUUACUCUUCUUCCUAAGGAAAGUGAUCCUUUAUCACCUCUCCUCUCAAAUUCACUGGCUUGUUUCGUGAGUGUGCCUUCAUGGAAUCAUGUCUCCUUCUCUUCCCUCAGUUCUCUCCUUCCCUCCCUUACGUAUGACUCCUCCCAUAAUCCGCACACAUGGAUUGAACCAAGUGAGGGUAUUUUUCUGUUUCCUACCUCAUAGAAGGGCAUAGAGUGGACACGGUCUAAGGUUAGUUCCUGAACUGAGUACCCACAUAUGCAGAACUUUAUUUAAAGCUGCUGAAAUCUUUGUAUAACAGAUAGAUCAAUAGGACUGAAAACUACUGAUGGUUUUACUUACUUGUUGAACGUGACUAAGUUCCAUGGCACCAUUUAGAAAUUGUGUUGUAUAGUUUUCGUAUGUUGCUUAAGAAACAGUUUAGCAUAAUGGUUAAAAGCAUGGCCUCUGGAACUAGAUUGCCUCUGUAUGCCUCAGUUUCCUCAUCUGGGAAUAAUAAUAGUUCUACCUCAUGGGAUUGCUAUGAGGAUUAAAUGAUUUAAUUUAAUUAAAUGAUUUCAUACAAAACUGAAUUGUACUUGACACUUAGUACUCAGGUAUUAACUGGGACCGUUAUUAUCAUCACAGAUGUUGUUUACAAGCACUUGCCUUUGAGAUUUGUUUAGCUUUUUUAUUAAAUUACUAGCGGUAUACUAGAACAGUACGUAGGCUGGGGCCUGGAGUCAAAUUCUAGCUUUGCCUCUUAUAGUUUUGAAACUUUGAGUAAAUUACUUGAUGUGUCUGAGUUUUAAUAUUCUUAUAUGUAAUUUACUUUUAAAAAGAAUUUUGCUUAGUGUUGAUAUACACACAUUUAACACAGUUAUAGAAAUUAUUGUUUUUACUAUUGUCAUAUGAGGAAAUUCGUCCCUGGGUUGCUGUAGGGUGCUAAUGGUUAGGCAAACUCUCUUUGAAGUCUGCCUGAUCUGGCCCCUUGCAGGCAUGUACUCCGAAAUAUUUUUCAAAUGGAAAAGAAAACAGAGAACACAAUUUUCAAAAUAUCUAGAGCCCUCCAAGAAGUCUUUGUAGAGAUCUAUAAAAUCUCAAGGCAAUUUAAAGGUAAUAAGACAACUUUAUUAAUAAUUAAUUAAAAUGUAAAUGUUAAUGAUAGCCCUUUGUAUAGCUAUAUUAUCUUUUUCUGAAGAAUAGAAAAAUGUUUUAGAAACACUAUUCUCUCCACAUCCUGGGGCAGCAGCCUUCUCCAAAGAAACAGAAAGAAGGAAAUGGAUUGCCUUAGCAAAAAAACAAAUGAAGACACUCCAAAUAACAGAAGAAUGGGAAGGCUACAGACCUUGAAGUCAGAAGAAAAUUUCCUCUCCUUGCCCCGUUUCUCCUUAAAUGGAUCACCAGUACAGUCUCUUACUUCUAGAGCCAUGUUAAGCUUUCUUCCCCAAAGUUGUAAUGUCCUUCUUUUGGUUGUGUCGUGUCCUAAAAUCCUACUCUUUGGUACAAGAUGAAGGUAUAUGAAGAGAUAAUGAAGGAAACAAAUUCAAUGUGUUUGCCAAGAACACAGUCUUUUAAAUAACUCUUAAAGGGUUCGUUUAAAACAGUGUAAUAAAUUGUGGUAAUCUAGUACACAAAGCUAGUAGGAACCUCGUUUAUUAAUAAUAUUUCAACAUUGAGCAGUAGAGGGCAGCACUAUCCUUCUUUUGCAAAAUGUUGAGCACUCUUGAGAAGGAAAAUAAAGGCAAAGCUCCUGACCCCUGUGUCUGUGUUUACUUUUACCAUUAAAAAAAAACAAAAAAUUGGAGUAUUUUUAUUAUGGUUUAGGUGAUUAUGUAUAAAGAAUGUCAGAGCCUGCAUUACCUGGAAGUGGUGCACCAGGUAAUGCAAAAAACACGGAAGGUUUGAGGUCCCCCACUCAGGAUAUGGGUUCUGUCUAGUAAAGAUAAACAGUAGCUUGACCCUGGGUAAUCAGAUAGGGUUAUUGUAUGAACAGACCUAAUGCUCCUGCACGUUCUGGAUAGAAGUCAAUCUACUGAAAUAGCAGGAUGUAGUUUUAAAAAAUGUGUGUAACUCAUAUAGUCUUAGCCCUGAUAAGUGCUUCUAAAUUCUUAUUCACUGCCUUUAUUCUGCUGUGUUAGUGUUGCUCUCUGUCAUACGUGGGUCAGGUCAGAACUAGCUCAAAUACAGUAUGUGUAUUAUGACUUUAAGGAGUGGUGUCAGACAAGAUGGGUAAAGAAUGUCUUUCAUGGGACUGCAGUUGGCUAAAUGGCUGUGUAUAAGUAGUGAAAUUGAAGCCUUGUAUGCUCGUCGUCAUUCUAUCACAGUAUGAUUUGAGUUUCCCUAACCGGUAAACAGCAAGAAAAAAUGAUCUGUUAUUUUUUACUAAAGUUACUUGAUGCUCUUUAGCAAGCUGACAGAAUAAUUCUAAUUUUAGCAAAUACAAAACCAUGGUAAUCCUAGCACAUUUGGAUUCUGUUUAACCCUGAAAACUCUUUUGGCAGCAAAUCUUCAAUGCCAAUUUAGAUAAAUCCCACUAGGAAUAAGCACUGAAAGACGUUGAGUCUAGUUCCCAGCUCUGCCAUGUGAAGUUGGGCAAAUUACAGUCUCUGAGCUUUUAUUUCAUCUGUUAAAUGGAGAUAAUACCUCCUAGAUUUAUUAAAAGGGUCAAUUUAGAAAAUAUGUAUUAAAAUGGUUUGAAAGCCAUUUAAGUACCUAAUGAAUAUUUCUAUCACUGUAGCCCAAAAAGAUUCCUGCCUAGAAGACUUUAUGUCUCUUCUCCUCAUUUGGUAUCAUUCUAUUGCCUGAGAUUGUUAAUUAACUUUUAUGUAUACUCAAUAUUUUCUCCCAACUUGGUUGCUAGUUCCUUGAGAACUGAAACCAUCAAUUGCACUUCUUGGUAUCCUCCACAAUAAGGUAUCUAGGUACUCAAAUAUUUGUUGGUUGAUUAAAAACAUAAACCACAAGACAUAAUUAACUCUUUUUAAAAUUGUGGUAAAAAAACAUGUAUUUACCAUCUUAAUCAUUUUUAAGUAUACUGUAUAUUAGUGUUUACUAUAUGCACAUUGUUGUGCAACACAUCUCUAGGACUUUUUCAUCCAGAAUUCUUUUUUUUUGAGACAGAGUCUUGCUGUGUCGCCCAAGCUGGAGUUCAGUGGCACCAUCCUGGCUCACUGCAACUGCUGCCUCCCAGGUUCAAGUGAUUCUCCUGCCUCAGCCUCCCGAGUAGCUGGGAUUACAUGUGCCUGCCACCACGCCUGGCAAGUUUUUGUAUUUUUAGUAGAAAUGGUGUUUUACCAUGUUGGCCAAGACUGGCCUAGAACUCCAGACCUCAAGUGAUCCACCCGCCUCAGCAGCCCAAAGUGGUGGGAUUACAGGCAUGAGCAACUGUGCCUGGCCUAGCCAUUUUCUAUAAACCUGAAAAUAGAUGCCAGAAAAGAAGGUGCCGCUAUAAAAUGCUUUCUUGAGUGAUUUAUGUCUAACAUACAAUUAAACAUUUAUGAGAAGGAAAUUAUCAGGUUAAAAUAUAAACUCACUUGCCAAUUAUUUGAUUUUCAGGAUAUCUGACUUUUGUUAAUUACUGAAAAUAAAGUAUUAUUUCUAAUCACUAUUGGUAUCACAAUAGCAUUUUUAUUUGGCCGGUAUGUGUGAGGCCUGGAGUAUGACGGGAAACUGUCCUAGAAAAGGCCCUUGCAUUGGCUGUAGAGAGUUCUGGAACUCUCAAGAUGGCAAGAUUGUAUUUAACUCUUUUAAAAACAAUGCACCUUUUCAAGCACAGAUUUUCAUCUGAUGUUGUGACCGUCAAUUAUGUCAGAUUUGUUUGAUAUAUUAAAAAAUUGGUUUCUCCUUUGCACAAAAUAAAUUAUAGAUGGAUAUAAGAUUUAAAUAUUUUAAACAAUAUAGGGAAAAUAAUAUAUUUGAAACAUAGUAUUAGGGUAGAAUAGACUUUCCUAAUCAUGGCACAAUCUCAGAAGCUAUAAAGAAAAUAAUUGACUUUGCAUGGCUAUAGACACCAUAAAUAAAUAUGUGAUAACAUGGAAGAAUAUUUGCAACAUGCUUAUUAGUCACAUCUGUUAUAUAGUCAGAGCUUCAUUGUAUUGGUGGAAAAAUUAGGAUAUAAAGAAAUUCAGAAAAGAAUAAAUACAAAUAACCAGUAAACAUGUCCAAAAUCAUCCUCAUUAUAAAAUUGAAACCACGCUGAUUUAUCAAUGUUUACCCAUUAGACUGACAAACAUUUUAAAUGUUCAAAAAAUAGUGUUGAGGGAAAAGAGCAAUGACAUGCACUAUUGGGGAGACUGUCAAUGAAUAAAGCCUUUUCUUGUAUUUUGGUAAUAACAGUCAAAAUGCACAUAAUACCAUUUGACCAAGCAAUUUCUCCUCUAGGAAUCUAUCCUAAAGAAAUUUAUACAAGUUUUCAAAGAUAGGUAUGUAGGCAUACAGUUAUGCAUUGUAGCUUUGCUUUAACAGAAAAAGAGUAAACACAUGUAUUAUUUUUGUAGCCUAAAAAAAAAUCAAGUUUUCAUUGAAAAUAAAAAUGACAGGUUUGAAGCAGGACAGUGGCCAUGGAAGUCGAAUCCACUAAGGCGUGUGUAACAAGUCACCUGCUGAGUCAACAAAAAUAAAUAAAAAUUUUUUAAAAACAGGCUUGAGAGACACUUCACAGGAAUAGAAAAUUUAGAUAGUUUCUAACAAUGACAAUGAAGUAGGACAGGAAAAAGUAAUUCUCCAAAGCAAAGUAUGUAUGUGUGUAGUAACUUAAAACUUCAGAUACUAUGAGAAACUAUUUUUAAAUAAAGAACAAUGUGGUGUGCUACAGUUUAGAGUUGAUCUGGAAAUCUGGGGAGCUAUUGAUGCUCCUUAGUUAAUAAAUUAGUGAUUUUUAAAAAUAUGAAUCCCCAUUAUCCGUAGCAAACUAACGCAGGAACAGAAAACCAAAUACUGCCAAAUACUGCAUGUUCUCAUAAGUGGGGCUGAAUGAUGAAGAACACAUGGAUACAUGAAGGGGAAUAACACACACUGGGGCCUGUCAGGGGUGGGAGUAGGAGGAAGGAGGGCAUCAGAAAGAACAGCUAAUGGAUGCUUGGCUGAAUAGCUAGGUGACAGGAUGAUCUAUGCAGCAAACCACCACGGCACACAUUUACCUAUGUAACAAACCUGCACAUCCUGCACAUGUACUCCUGAACUUGAGAAUUGAAGAAAAAAAAUGAAUCCCACAAUUCUGUAUCCAAAGACCGAGAACAGCUCCUGACAUCGAACAGACAAUAAAUAUUGGCUGAAGGAAUGAAUGAGGAUAUUUGCAUCCGAGUUUUAAUUAGAAUAGAUGUAAAAUUGCCUAAUGAUUAUUACUUGUUCUGCAACAAGUGUUUAAUAGAUACUAGUUCACUACUUAUACGUGUCUAACACAUCACAAAGGUUUAUUUAAAAGAAUUUAUAUAGUGCUUAUUAUAUGUUGGGUACUGUUCUAAGUUCUUCACAAACACUAACUCAUUCAAGUUGUAUAAGUGAAGCAGGUGGUCUAAUUAUUCCAUUUAACAGAUGAGGCAAUUGAGGCAAAGAGCAAUUAAGUAACUUGCCCACGAUGGCACAGCUAGACAAUGGUGGGGAUAUGAACACAGUCUGCCUCCAGGGUCACUUCUCCAUGGUGCCAUAUUGCAUCCCACACGGUAAAAACUUACUAAAUGUAAGAAUGCAUAAAGUGUUACUGUUUUUGAAAUUAUAUUAUGCUUUUGCCCCAGAAAGUCAGAAUAUUUGAUAUCAAAUCAUGUCUAAAAAUCAUUCCCACAACUUCCCUUUGAGGUAGAGCAUAUUUCUAAAAUCAUGUUUUAGUGUAUUACUGGUUUAAUAGUUGUGUUUAAAAAGAACAUGGGAGGUCAUUGUUCCUAUGAUAAAAUCACUGUAUUUGUUUUUUGACAUCAUAUUCAUUUCCAUGACAACACUUCCAAGUUCCAAACACAGAAACAUCUUGCUCUAGAAAUGGAAGAGGCAUAGGGCCUACAGAGAAUUACAUAACAAUGUCAAAAUUGUUUAAAGGGGUAAGGUUGUUUGUGUGUAUUUUAAUCUUUUGCAUAACUAAAGCAAUGAGUCUCCAACUUUUUCAAUCAGGAAUCUUUUUUUUGUAUCUAAGCUUUGUAGGCUUUUUUGUUUUAAGAUGGAGUCUCUGUUGCCAGGCUGGAGUGCAGUGGCAUGAUCAUAGCUUAUCACAGCCUCAAAUUCCUGGGCAAAAGCAAUCCUUCCACCUCAGCCUCCCAAGUAGCUGGAAUUAUAAGCACAACCCACCCUGCUGGCUAGUUUUUGUUUUUUGUUUGUUUUUGUUUUUGAGAUGGAGUUUUGCUCUUGUUGCCCCGGCUAGAGUGCAAUGGCAUGAUCUCGGCUCACCUCAAUCUCCACCUCCUGGGUUCAGGUGAUUCUCCUGCCUCAGCCUCCCAAGUAGCUGGGAUCACAGGCAUGCGCCACCACACCCGGCUAAUUUUGUAUUUUUAGUAGACAGGGUUUCUCCAUGUUGGUCAGGCUGGUCUCGAACUCCCAACCUCAGGUGAUCUGCCCACCUCAGCCUCCCAAAGUGCUGGGAUUACAGGCCUGAGCCACCGCGCCCAGCCAGUUUUUAUUUUAACCUUAGUUUAACUCCAUUCCAUAACAAUACCAGUGUUUCUUUUUUUCAUGAUUCAUUCAUUCAUUCAUUCAUUCAUUCCAUAAAUAUUUAUUGACCACCUACUAUGCGCCAGCAUUGCACUAGGUGCUAAGAAUAACAUGAUGAACAAAAAGACAAAAUCCCUUUCUUCACGGAUUGAAAUCUAAUGGGGAAACAGAUAAUAACAGUAUUGCACAAAUGAAAUACUAAGAUUACUAAACUGUAGCCAUAUCUGAGUGCUACAUAUCUUAAUAAUCUGAGAUUACUAAAUUACAGCCAUGGUAAGUGCCACAUAUCUUCAUGGAAAAAGUCCAUGAAAGCAUAAAAUAGAGGGAAUUAAUCUAGUUGAGGCCAGUUCUUUCCCCCUCAGAAUCUUCCAUCCAGCAUGGAUAGCAUUCCACUUCUAAUUCCUACCCCAGCUAUACCUCUUAGACCUUACAGUUUGCACAUACGACAAAGUUCUGGAGUCCAUGUUGGCAGCCAAUGUUUUUAAGAGAAAAUGGCCCAUUAAAAAUAAUAUUUUUAAUUUAUCGUCUUGUCAUUUUA
rnacentral:lncRNA from 1 species